CCUACGGGUGGCAGCAGUGGGGAAUAUUGGACAAUGGGCGAAAGCCUGAUCCAGCCAUGCCGCGUGUGUGAAGAAGGCCUUCGGGUUGUAAAGCACUUUCAGCGGGGAAGAAAGCCUUGGGGCUAAUACCCUCGAGGAAGGACAUCACCCACAGAAGAAGCACCGGCUAACUCCGUGCCAGCAGCCGCGGUAAUACGGAGGGUGCGAGCGUUAAUCGGAAUUACUGGGCGUAAAGCGCGCGUAGGCGGUCUGAUAAGCCGGUUGUGAAAGCCCCGGGCUCAACCUGGGAACGGCAUCCGGAACUGUCAGGCUAGAGUGCAGGAGAGGAAGGUGGAAUUCCCGGUGUAGCGGUGAAAUGCGUAGAGAUCGGGAGGAAUACCAGUGGCGAAGGCGGCCUUCUGGACUGACACUGACGCUGAGGUGCGAAAGCGUGGGUAGCAAACAGGAUUAGAUACCCCAGUAGUC
rnacentral:rRNA from 1 species